CAUAAGACGAGAAGACCCUGUGGAGCUUAAAAACCAAAAGUAUCAAAUAUGCUUCCUGGAUUUUUAGUUGGGGCGACUUCGGAGCAAAAAAAACCCUCCAAAAUAUGAAUUUAUUUAUUAAGACUAACACACCAAAAAUAAUUUUUAUAGACCCAGCAGUUAUUCUACUGUCUGAUCAAUGAACCAAGUUACCCCAGGGAUAACAGCGCCAUCCUCUUCUAGAGUCCCUAUCGACAAGAGGGUUUACGACCUCGAUGUUGGAUCAGGACACCCCUAUAGUGCAGCCGCUAUAAAAGGUUCGUUUGUUCAACGAUUAAAGUCCUACGUGAUCUGAGUUCAGACCGGAGAAAUCCAGGUCGGUUUCUAUCUAUG